CCCUUCCAGUGACUGACUUCUCCAAUAAGACUAGGGACUACCUCAGCCUCUCAGCCACCGACCUGCUGGUUCUUGCCCUCACCUGCCAGCUGCAGGCUGAGACCAACGGCUCCGGCUGCCUUUGCUGAGACCCCCAGGAGAAGUUGGGUCUGUGUAUCUUCCCCAGGGAUGGGGCCCCAUCCUCAGAGUCGUUCAGCAUCCUAGUCCCUCCCCAGGUGUGGCUUACCUCUGCCCUGUGGCACCCCAAGAACCCCCUACACCUCACUGGCUUCUACCUGCCCUCCAAGGUAAGGGACAGAGAUGUGGUGCUCCAAGGUAAGGCACUGGGGCUGGGGAUGCAGCCCUGCAGAGUCCCCAGGCAGCAGUGGGCAAAGGGCCCCUGUCCUGUCUUCCCCCACACCACAAGCACCCAGGGAAAGGCCAGCAUCAGCCCAGCCCCUGAGAGCUGGUGAGCCCCUCUCUCCAGCAUUGAGGAGGAGCUGCAGAAGCUGAUGAUGAGACCCAGGGCCUCCUCUCCUUGCUGGCUGUGCCACCCCUGGUCUGGCUGGCAUUUCUGACCUCCACUGCAUGUGCCAUCACCAAUUGUCUCCUCCACCCCAGAAAGCUCAAGCCACCUCUGUUAGCCAAGAGACCCCCUGAGGAGUACCAGAGCUCAGAGCAUGAGGCCAGUGGUGAUGAGGAGGACAAGGAGGAGAGUGAUGAUGAGGGUUGGAUAACAGCAACCUCAAGCAAGUCCAUCAGGACAUGAGAUACUGUGAUACUGCGAUACUGCUCCUGGCAGCAUCCAGGUCAGCUGCAUCACCAUGGACUUUGCCAUGCAGUUAGGUGCCAGUCACCGUCUUGCAUGGGAUGGCUCCAGCCUCAAACAUGUGGGGGGCUGGUGGAUUCUCAAAACUAUUUGAACCACUGGGCUGGUUAAACCAGCACACAGAGACAGAGGAGUCCCCAGCCAGGCUGAGCGCAGCUUUGCAACAGCCUCUUUUAUCUUAAACCCAGCCCAUUCUCUCUGUGGCGGAGGCUCCUGUACAAAGCCUGUUGGUGUAGCUCCUAUCAGCCUCUCUCUUGCCUGGGCUGGCAGACUCCGGUGAAAGCUCCCGGCAGUCCCAGCUCACAGGAUCCUGGUUUCUCCCUCCUUGUUGAAGAACAUGCUGCUGCAACUGGGCCUCCAUGUGCUGGUGGUCAACGGCAUGCUGAUCUGCCAGGCCAGGAGCUACAUCCUGUGCUGCCACAGCUGCUUCAGGACCACUUCAGAUACGACAAAGGUUUUCUGUCCCACUGUGUGGUAACAAGACCCUGAAGAAGGUUGCAGUGAGCAUCAGUGAUGAUGGGAGCCUCCACAUGCACUUCUCCUGCAGUCCCAAGGUGCUGAAUCCCUGAUGGCUCAGGGCGAGUGUACAUCAUGUGCUGGGUGCUGCUGGGACAAGAGCCUGGCCUGUGGCUAGAGGGGUUGGAGGGAGCCAUCAGCUGGCAGGAGUCAAGGUGAAGUCAUGAUCAUCCUCCAGCUGUUCCACCCAACCCCUUGAAGCUUUUGGGCUUCAUUUGCUCAGUUCUUCUCUAGAGGCCUGUAGUCACCUUUAAGUACCUGAAGGUGACAAGUUGCCCCUGAAGUGAGUUUAACAACUGCUUCUCUCUUGGCAGUAUCUGCUGCCAGCCCCCCGAGGAAGGAAGCAUGCCAACAACCCUCACCUGGUAGAAGACCAGCACUUCCCACAGCAGUGCCUGUCCUGCAAGGCCAGGCAGAAGGUUAAUGUCUUUGACCUCAAUUACCCUUUGUCUUACCCUUUGUGAAGAAUGACAUCUAUAGCUGCACAGCCAACCUCCAGAUGCAGUAUGUGGCUCUGGGCGCAGACAGGAGGUACCUGAACCCCAAUGCUGUGACAAAGAAGUUUGUGAAGAGGAGGUGAAGGGCAGGAGGGGUCGUUGCAGUCACUGUUGCAAAGGAAGGACCAUCUGCCUGGGUGUUGCAUGGUGCUGCCCGAUGGCUCCAGGAAGGGGCAGAGGUUGGGCCUUUCCUUCUGUGCUCCUCUGAUACCCAAAGAGCAGCCAUGACAUGGGGAUGAUAGUUGUUAAGGAGGCUCCAACCCAGAAUGGCCUGCCAGAAAACGGGCAAGGUAGUGGCUUCCUUGCUUGGCCCCCAGUAUGCCCCAGGCCAUGGCUGUGUUGCUAAUAAACACCAAAACCCACAGCA